AUGCCUGGGACAAAGUGGGCGAAAUACGGGAAGAAAUACAACAAAGACUGGGAGAAAGAGAAAGGAGUAAAAGAAUGGAUUCAACCCGUCAUAGGGGACGACUCAAAAGCACUGUGCAUAGUAUCUGCUUAUUGGAUGGGGGCGGAGACUAUCACAAAUACCUGAGGCCUCUACUUAUUUAAGAGCUGCUGGGGGCACUUCAGUGGCGGCUUGCCCUGCAAACUAUGUUUGUGUUUGAUUUUCCUUAUUCUCUUUUGUUUAAGGAUGGUGUGUGUGUGAGUGAUUGCUUGUUUAGUUACCAUAUAGAGUACAUAGAAAGCGUAAGUGAGCUGACCCAGAAGACUUUUGCUGUGUUUGAUUUCCUCCUCGGAAGAUAAGAAGUUUUCUUAACUCUGGAGUAAGUAGUAGUUUAAAUUAGUUAGCUCACCAGUCCUUAUUUAUGAUUUGUUUAUGUUUCAAAACAUCUUUUUGCUGUUUUCCUAUUUUUGGUUAUUCUUUUACCCAUACAAUAAAACUUUAAUUUUUGCCCUGUGGUAUAUGUUGCCUUUAGAACGCUUUCUUAUGUUGGUCCCUUAACAGGGUCAUAACAUUAUCUAUCACUAAUUAGGCUAAUUAUUUAACAUUUUAGGCUUAUUUUGAGCACAAAGUAUGUGCCGUCUGCAAAUGUAAUUGUUGCAUGUGAUUGCCUAUUUGAUUAUUAUUAUUCACAUCAAGGUGUAGUUUUCACCCACAGCGGAACUUUUUUGAAGGUUAUAAUUGUGUGCAAAACAAUCCAGCACCCUCAUCAAGCAGUUAUAUUGUACAAAGAAACAGUAUUACUUUGAUUUAACAUGAAUAGUUUGUAUAUGGCUACCUUGAAAAUGAUAACAGUGUCUAUUUUGAUAAUUGAUGAUAACAAAGGCUCUGCUCUUGUCCAGGGGCCAGUUGCAUAAACAGCUUAGACUAGUCUUAAAAAGGUAGCCGUCUAAUUAGUUUUCUUCUAGACUGGUGAUAACUGUUUAAAGUCAGUUACAAGUAUGUAGAUUUGCCCAAUUUUAAUCAGAAAUGUGAGACUGAUUAUCUAACUGCUACACAGUCGGUCAAACUAGUUCUUAAGACUCAGUCUUAGCACAAUGUCUAUGCUUAUGCAACUGGCCCCUGUUUAUGUUCUAAAGCAGUGGUUUUCAAACCGGUCCUGCGAGCACCCCUGGCAUUGCACAUUUUUCGUUUCCCUUAUCUAUCACACCUGAUUCAACUCAUCAGCUCACUAGUAGAGACUGCAAGACCAGAAAUGGGUGUGUCACAUAUAGGGAGACAUACAAAAUGUGAGGUGCUAGGGGUGCUUGCAAGAGCGGUUUGAAAACCACUGUUCUAAAGUAACCACACUCAACCAAUUAAUGGUUGGGGGUUGCAGCCCUCUCUGUCGGUGAAAAUAAUCACUACAUUGUUCUGGAAACCAGCAGGUUAUUUGGCUGGGCUUUUUACAGUGUAUUUGCAGAGCUGUUUUAAAUGUGCUGUAAAUCGGGGACAUUUCCGGGGACAGCUUCAGUCGGGGACAGGACACCAAAAACCAGGACUGUCUCCAGAAAACGGGGAUGUCUGGUCACCUUAAACUAUACAUGAUGCAAUAUUAGAGCCUGGAUAUAACUAGACAGUGCGAAGAAUGAAACCUUGAUUGCAAGAAAUAUCUCAUUCAUCACACAAAAAUGUCUAUGAAACUGAAUCCGGAGUCAUGCUCUGACACGUCACAAUGUUCACCUGUGUUCUAGUUUAAACACAGGUAAUCUUAACCGGAUCAACUACUCAUCACCUAUAUAUAUAUACUGUACAUGUAUAUUUAAAUAUACAUGUACAGUCAAAUCAAAAUUUAUUCAGACACCUUCAACAUUUCACACAUUAUCACAGUUUAUUCACUAUAGUUUAGAAAAUGAUAAUAAAAUAUGACAAGUACUCAGAGUUAAACUGUGUCAGAACAAAUUCAUCUUGAUAAUGUCAGAAGUAAUGUCUUUAAGCAAAACAUGGUCAGGUUAAGUGUCUGAAUAAUUUUGGUCCCAAAUUUUUAUACAUUGUACUGGUAGUUCCAUUGUAUGAAGAAAUUUUUGGUAUUAAUAUAUCACAGUUUACUUUUAGCUGCUGUUUUCUGCUCAUUUUCUUUCUUUUUCUUUUCUUUUUCCCUGUCG
rnacentral:lncRNA from 1 species